ACUUCGCAGAUCACUCUAGAUGCAAGCCGGUGUAUGGGCAGGUCCCUGACCCGUACUACCGGCCCCAAGCCAAUUACCUUCUCUCCUUCUUCAAUCUGACCGUAACCUCGACUGGCAUUCACUAUCGUGGACUACAAGGAGUUAUUCAGGACUUUUACUUAGACCGGCAGACGGAUAGGGCAGUACUGACGUUGCUGUUCAGGAACUACCGUUUGAACACCACAGUAGACUACUACCGCUACCACAGGGUGGGCAAGGAGCCAGCUAUCACCAAGACCGUUGGAGCCACUUAUUUCCCGGCGUUCACGACCACCACCAUAUUCCGAGGCAUCGAUAAGCUGGACCUGCAGACGGCCUCCACCACGGGCUACGUGGACGGGCUGCCGGUAGCGGUCAUCGCCCCCAGCGCUGGAAUUCAUCCAG